rnacentral:rRNA from 1 species
GAUGAACGCUGGCGGCGUGCCUAAUACAUGCAAGUCGAGCGAACGGACGAGAAGCUUGCUUCUCUGAUGUUAGCGGCGGACGGGUGAGUAACACGUGGAUAACCUACCUAUAAGACUGGGAUAACUUCGGGAAACCGUAGCUAAUACCGGAUAAUAUUUUGAACCGCAUGGUUCAAAAGUGAAAGACGGUCUUGCUGUCACUUAUAGAUGGAUCCGCGCUGCAUUAGCUAGUUGGUAAGGUAACGGCUUACCAAGGCAACGAUGCAUAGCCGACCUGAGAGGGUGAGCGGCCACACUGGAACUGAGACACGGUCCAGACUCCUACGGGAGGCAGCAGUAGGGAAUCUUCCGCAAUGGGCGAAAGCCUGACGGAGCAACGCCGCGUGAGUGAUGAAGGUCUUCGGAUCGUAAAACUCUGUUAUUAGGGAAGAACAUAUGUGUAAGUAACUGUGCACAUCUUGGCGGUACCUAAUCAGAAAGCCACGGCUAACUACGUG